GACGAACGCUGGCGGCGUGCUUAACACAUGCAAGUCGAACGGAAAGGCCCUGCUUUUGGGGGGUGCUCGAGUGGCGAACGGGGGAGUAACACGUGAGUAACCUGCCCUUGACUUUGGGAUAACUUCAGGAAACUGGGGCUAAUACCGGAUAGGAGCUCCUGCUGCAUGGUGGGGGUUGGAAAGUUUCGGCUGUUGGGGAUGGACUGGCGGCUUAUCGGCUUGUUGGGGGGGUAGUGGCGUACCAAGGCUUUGACGGGUAGCCGGCCUGGGCGGGUGACCGGCCACAUUGGGCCUGCGGGACGGUGCAGAAUCGUACGGGCGGCAGCAGGCGGGAAUCUUGCGCAAUGGGCCGACGUCUGAUGCAGCAACGCCGCGUUCGGGAUGACGGCCUUCGGGCUGUAAACCGCUUUCGCCUGUGACGAAGCGAGAGUGACGGUAAUGUGUCAAGAAGCACCGGCUAACUACGUG
rnacentral:rRNA from 1 species